UUUCCGUAGGUGAACCUGCGGAAGGAUCAUUCAUAAUAAAGUGUUUUAUGGCACUUUUUAAAAAUCCAUAUCCACCUUGUGUGCAAUGUUAGAUCUCGUCAAUCUUGGCGAGAUUUUUAUACAUCAACUCAUUUUUUAACUAAUUUGUCUGAAAAAUAUUAUGAACACUUAAUUCAAAAUACAACUUUCAACAACGGAUCUCUUGGCUCUC
rnacentral:misc_RNA from 1 species